AUGCAACCACAAGAUCGUGCCCACAUCCUCACCGGAGCCUGCAUUGCUCUCACGCUCCUACUAAGCACUGUAAACACGGCGUCCAGCCGCCGUCCGGCAGGCCACAGCCCCCCGCCCCCUCCCCACGGCUCCGGCCAGACCAUAACGCUCUACACCAAUGGAGCUGCACCACCAAACGCCGGCGGCACCCCUUCCUCGAAACACCCGGCCUUCACCAGCCAAGGCCCGAUCGGCCACCCCGGCAGCUGGCUACGCACCUUGACGCGGCCUGGGGCGCUCCGCCCCGGCACGGUGACCGUCGUCGACGAGCAGUUCCAUGGAAAGAGAGAGUUUGGGCUGCCCUUGGCUGGGAAGCUGCAGGGCGUUCUUGUCACCAGCUUGGAUGAUAACAGCAACCAUAUAGUUGCAGUGAAGGCCCUGUUCACCGGCGAUGGCGCGGAAGACAGCAUCAGGUUCUUCGGAAUCCAUCACAACGGUCAGGAGGAGUCCCAUGUCGCGGUGGUCGGAGGGACGGGGAGGUAUGACAGCGCCACCGGUUUCGCUGUUAUUAGAGCAGCAGAUGUACCUGAAACAAGGGGAAAUGACAGCUUCAGCAGGAAUCUCAGUUUCAGUGUGCUCCUCAAGUGA
rnacentral:rRNA from 1 species